rnacentral:rRNA from 1 species
GACGAACGCUGGCGGCGUGCCUAAUACAUGCAAGUCGAGCGGACGGGCGAUGCGUUUGCGGGGCGCUUGUUUGGCGAACGGGUGAGUAACACGCGAGUAUAACGUCCUUAUAUUUGGGGUAACUUUAGGAAACUGCGGCUAAUACAGGAUAGGAGCUCCUGCAGCGUGGGGGGGGAAGGAGAGAUUCGGCGGUUGGGGCUGGACUCGCGGGUUAUCAGCUGGUUAGUGGGGUAGUGGAUUACCAAGGCUAUGAAGGGUAGCCGGCCUGAGAGGGUGACCGGCGACCUUGGGACUUAGGUACGGCACAGACUGCUACGGGAGGCAGCAGGGGGGAAUAUUGCACAAUGGGCGGAAGCCUGAUGCAGCAGUGCCGCGAGCGUAAUGACGGGUUAUUAGUGAUGAACAGCUUUGGACUGUGAUGAACCGAGCUUGACGGUACUUAGUAAGAAAGCACCGGCUAACUACGUG